CCUGCGGGUCACUUCCCAAUCCCCUACCAUAACCCCCUCUAUCUAUGGAGUUACACUCUCCCUUCUGCCCCUACUCGCAAUACUGCAAGUAUGGGGCAUGUCUACUAAACAGUGAGCAGACAUUAAAGGGGAACCUAGCACAGGUGCCCCAUGGUUGGGGCACCUAUUAAAAUGACAGGGAGUGUGGGGGAGGCAUAGUGUUAAAGACAGCCUGUAUGUGUAUUUAUUUAUGUAUGUAUGUAUGUGUAUAGAUCAGUAAAAAGUGAGUAUGGGUCAGUGAGCUAUUUUCUUUCCAUUAAAAAUUAGUUUUUUUAAAUUGUUUAUAUAUAUCCAGUUGUGACACCUCUUGACAAUGUUCAAACAUUG